AUCGCUUCUCGGCCUUUUGGCUAAGAUCAAGUGUAGUAUCUGUUCACGUCAGCUUAAUACAAUCAUUAACUUAAAAAACUUUUUCUAUUACAACUUUC
rnacentral:snRNA from 1 species